UACAGAGGGUGCGAGCGUUGUCCGGAAUCACUGGGCGUAAAGGGCGCGUAGGUGGCGCCGCAAGUCCAUGGUGAAAGCUCGAUGCUCAACAUCGAGUCGGCCACGGAGACUGCGGGGCUCGAGCACUGUAGAGGCAGAUGGAAUUCCGGGUGUAGCGGUGGAAUGCGUAGAGAUCCGGAAGAACACCGGUGGCGAAGGCGGUCUGCUGGGCAGUAGCUGACACUGAGGCGCGACAGCGUGGGGAGCAACAGG
rnacentral:rRNA from 1 species